rnacentral:tRNA from 1 species
CGGAGCGUAGCGCAGCCUGGUAGCGCACUUGCAUGGGGUGCAAGGGGUCGCGAGUUCGAAUCUCGCCGCUCCGA